AACGGAGAUCUAUGGUUUACGCCGGGGCUUCUAACCCUGCUGCUUGAGGGGUUCAAUUCCCUUC
rnacentral:tRNA from 1 species